UACAGAGGGUGCGAGCGUUGUUCGGAAUUACUGGGCGUAAAGCGCGCGCAGGCGGCUUUUUAAGUCCGACGGUGAAAUGCCGGGGCUCAACCCCGUGCCCGCCGCGGAUACUGGGAAGCUGGAGACAUGUAGAGGCAAGCGGAAUUCCGGGUGUAGCGGUGGAAUGCGUAGAGAUCCGGAAGAACACCGGAGGCGAAGGCGGCUUGCUGGGCAUGGUCUGACGCUGAGGCGCGAAAGCGUGGGGAGCGAACAGG
rnacentral:rRNA from 1 species